rnacentral:rRNA from 1 species
UGGGGAAUUUUGGACAAUGGGCGAAAGCCUGAUCCAGCAAUGCCGCGUGUGUGAAGAAGGCCUUCGGGUUGUAAAGCACUUUUGUCCGGAAAGAAAUCCUUGGCUCUAAUACAGUCGGGGGAUGACGGUACCGGAAGAAUAAGCACCGGCUAACUACGUGCCAGCAGCCGCGGUAAUACGUAGGGUGCAAGCGUUAAUCGGAAUUACUGGGCGUAAAGCGUGCGCAGGCGGUUUGCUAAGACCGAUGUGAAAUCCCCGGGCUCAACCUGGGAACUGCAUUGGUGACUGGCAGGCUAGAGUAUGGCAGAGGGGGGUAGAAUUCCACGUGUAGCAGUGAAAUGCGUAGAGAUGUGGAGGAAUACCGAUGGCGAAGGCAGCCCCCUGGGCCAAUACUGACGCUCAUGCACGAAAAGCGUGGGGAGCAAACAGGAUUAGAUACCCUGGUAGUCCACGCCCUAAAACGAUGUCAACUAGUUGUUGGGGAUUCAUUUCCUUAGUAACGUAGCUAACGCGUGAAGUUGACCGCCUGGGGAGUACGGUCGCAAGAUUAAAAACUCAAAUGAAUUGACGGGGUCAUAGCUGUUUCCU